rnacentral:tRNA from 2 species
GCUGCUGUAGCUCAGUGGUAGAGCGCCGCCUUGGUAAGGCGGAGGUCGUGGGUUCAACCCCCACCAGCAGCU